GGUCAGCACAUCACCACCUUGGCUCUAGACUGCUUACUGCUAAUGUUUUGGAAAGUACAGUAACAGUCUACAGUCAUGGCUACUGAAGUCUGAC
rnacentral:pre_miRNA from 12 species